rnacentral:rRNA from 1 species
AGCGAACGUUUGCGGCGGGCCUAACACAUGCAAGUCGAACGCACUAGCAAUAGUGAGUGGCGCACGGGUGCGUAACACGUGGGUAAUCAACCCUUCAGCUUGGGAUAACGACUUGAAAGGGUCGCUAAUACCGGAUACGGCGCGGGAGGCUUCGGCUUCUCACGAGAAAGCCUCGCAAGGGGCACUGAAGGACGAGCCUGCGGCCCAUCAGCUAGUUGGUGAGGUAAGAGCUCACCAAGGCGAAGACGGGUAGCUGGUCUGAGAGGAUGAUCAGCCACACUGGAACUGAGACACGGUCCAGACUCCUACGGGAGGCAGCAGUGGGGAAUAUUGCGCAAUGGGCGAAAGCCUGACGCAGCCACGCCGCGUGAGCGAUGAAGGCCUUCGGGUCGUAAAGCUCUGUGGGGAGGAGACGAAGAAAGACCCGUGAAGAGCGGGCCGUUGACGGGUAUCUCCUUAGCAAGCACCGGCUAACUCCGUGCCAGCAGCCGCGGUAAUC